CAAAUAUAUUUAAAUGGCAAGGACAGUGGUGUUGGCGUUUAUCGAAAGUUACAUGCUCAUAGUAGUCAGGUUGGUGUCACUGUCCUCAGCUGUUAAAGUUGAAUAAAUCUUCCAGAUUAGUGGUAAGACAGAGGAAAGAGUCGUAUGUUUUUCUCCACUAAGAGCAUCAGUGAAUGAGCUUAUUGGGCUCAGUACAUCUUUUACAGUCUCAAGAACUGUAAUGUCAGAAUCUUUUGGCAUGAGGUGCCACUUCUUUCUGUCAUCUGCUAAAACAGCACAGACAGCUUGUUGUUGUUCAAGGUUCAAGUCCCAGCGUGUUGGCUCAUCAUGAAUUAGUCUGUGUUCUGCCAGCUGUAUUUCUUUGUUUUUUUCUUUAGUUGUUCUUUAGGCCUUUUCUAAUGGCCAAUGCAGGUUGUGACCAAAGCAGGGGACCCAUGUGAAAUCCUGCUCAAAUGCUUUCCUAUUAUUUGCAGCAUUGUCUGUGGUGAUGCCUGCCAUAUUGUUUAUGUCCAGCUUCCAUGUGUCCUGUAUAAUCUCCUCCAAAGCCUCCCUCAUGCCGUCACCUGUAUGCUCUGAGUGGAGCCCAACACAGCCCAGACACCAGCUCUGCAUGUCCCAGGACUCAGCUAUAAAUUGCAGGGUUACUGCCAUGAAUGAUGCUGUGGCUCUACUGGUCCAAAGGUUGGGGAGUUGAAGGAUGUUGUCCAGAGACAUGCCUGCCAUUUUUGCCUUGCUGAAAUGGUCUACCCUGCCAGGAAAGUGCUCACAUUCCUAAUCAAGGGAGCUAAGUCCAAGAAUUUCCAGCAGCAAGCAGUCAUUUGCAGGUUCAGGAUACUCAUGUCACGCACCACCCUUGGACAAGAUCUUGACAUUCAUCGUUGUACCGUUGCAUGGGGCAUCAGGAUCACAACCAUCUUCUCCUAUACGACUUGUACAAUGACAAUGCUGAUGCACUUGUUGCCAUCUAGAACAUGAUGCAUGAAGACCAGGACUGCACUCGCUCAAUUUUUUGUAAAUAGUUUCCAAUACUAAGGGCUCCUUAUUUGCAUCGUAUUGCAGAAUUUGUCCAUUACCAAUGCAUUUUUUUGUAUUUUAAAUUGAAAUGUAUAAUCAAUAGUGAAGCUGCAGGAAAGUUUUUAUUAAACUGAGAUGCUGAAAUGUA